rnacentral:rRNA from 1 species
GACAGAGGGUGCAAACGUUGUUCGGAAUUACUGGGCGUAAAGCGCACGUAGGCGGCUUUGUAAGUUAGAGGUGAAAGCCUGGAGCUCAACUCCAGAACUGCCUUUAAGACUGCAUCGCUUGAAUCCAGGAGAGGUGAGUGGAAUUCCGAGUGUAGAGGUGAAAUUCGUAGAUAUUCGGAAGAACACCAGUGGCGAAGGCGGCUCACUGGACUGGUAUUGACGCUGAGGUGCGAAAGCGUGGGGAGCAAACAGG